rnacentral:rRNA from 1 species
GAUGAACGCUGGCUACAGGCUUAACACAUGCAAGUCGAGGGGAAACGACGGGGAAGCUUGCUUCCCCGGGCGUCGACCGGCGCACGGGUGAGUAACGCGUAUCCAACCUGCCUCUGACUGAGGGAUAACCCGUCGAAAGUCGGCCUAAUACCUCAUGGCAUCGUCUGCGGGCAUCCAACGACGAUUAAAGAUUUCAUCGGUCAGGGAUGGGGAUGCGUCUGAUUAGCUUGUUGGCGGGGUAACGGCCCACCAAGGCUACGAUCAGUAGGGGUUCUGAGAGGAAGGUCCCCCACAUUGGAACUGAGACACGGUCCAAACUCCUACGGGAGGCAGCAGUGAGGAAUAGUGGUCAAUGGGCGGGAGCCUGAACCAGCCAAGUAGCGUGCAGGAUGACGGCCCUAUGGGUUGUAAACUGCUUUUAUGCGGGGAGAAAGUGAGGGACGUGUCCUUCAUUGCAGGUACCGCAUGAAUAAGGACCGGCUAAUUCCGUG